rnacentral:rRNA from 1 species
GCAUGGUUGUCGUCAGCUCGUGUCGUGAGAUGUUGGUUAAGUCCCGCAACGAGCGCAACCCUAUUGUUAGUUGCCAUCAUUCAGUUGGGCACUCUAGCGAGACUGCCGGUAAUAAACCGGAGGAAGGUGGGGAUGACGUCAAAUCAUCAUGCCCCUUAUGACCUGGGCUACACACGUGCUACAAUGGUUGGUACAACGAGUUGCGAGUCGGUGACGGCGAGCUAAUCUCUUAAAGCCAAUCUCAGUUCGGAUUGUAGGCUGCAACUCGCCUACAUGAAGUCGGAAUCGCUAGUAAUUGCGGAUCAGCACGCCGCGGUGAAUACGUUCCCGGGCCUU